UUAGGAAUUUUGGGCAAUGGGCGCAAGCCUGACCCAGCAACGCCGCGUGGGUGACGAAGGCCUUCGGGUUGUAAAGCCCUUUUCUGAGGGAAGAUGAUGACGGUACCUCAGGAAGAAGCACCGGCUAACUACGUGCCAGCAGCCGCGGUAAUACGUAGGGUGCGAGCGUUGCCCGGAUUUAUUGGGCGUAAAGGGCGCGUAGGCGGCCACGCACGUCCGUUGUGAAAUCGCCCGGCUCAACUGGGCGGGGUCAGCGGAUACGGUGUGGCUAGAGCAAGCUAGGGGGCAAUGGAAUUCCCGGUGUAGUGGUGGAAUGCGUAGAUAUCGGGAGGAACACCAGUGGCGAAGGCGGUUGCCUGGAGCUUUGCUGACGCUGAUGCGCGAAAGCGUGGGGAGCGAUCCG
rnacentral:rRNA from 1 species